rnacentral:rRNA from 1 species
ACAGCAGUCGCCGCGGGAAUACGGAGGGUGCAAGCGUUACUCGGAAUCACUGGGCGUAAAGGACGCGUAGGCGGAUUAUCAAGUCUCUUGUGAAAUCUAACGGCUUAACCGUUAAACUGCUUGGGAAACUGAUAAUCUAGAGUAAGGGAGAGGCAGAUGGAAUUCUUGGUGUAGGGGUAAAAUCCGUAGAUAUCAAGAAGAAUACCUAUUGCGAAGGCGAUCUGCUGGAACUUAACUGACGCUAAUGCGUGAAAGCGUGGGGAGCAAACAGGAUUAGAUACCCGCGUAGUCCCUGUCUCUUAUAC